CCUCAAAUCAGGUAGGACUACCCGCUGAACUUAAGCAUAUCAAUAAGCGGAGGAAAAGAAACUAACAAGGAUUCCCCUAGUAACGGCGAGUGAAGCGGGAAGAGCUCAAAUUUAAAAUCUGGCGGUCUCAGGCCGUCCGAGUUGUAAUCUAGAGAGGUGUUUUCUGUGCCGGACCGUGUACAAGUCCCUUGGAACAGGGCGUCAUAGAGGGUGAUAAUCCCGUCCAUGACACGGACUACCGGUGCUCUGUGAUACACCUUCAAAGAGUCGAGUUGUUUGGGAAUGCAGCUCAAAAUGGGUGGUAAAUUCCAUCUAAAGCUAAAUACAGGCGAGAGACCGAUAGCGAACAAGUACCGUGAGGGAAAGAUGAAAAGAACUUUGGAAAGAGAGUUAAACAGUACGUGAAAUUGUUGAAAGGGAAACGCUUGAAGUCAGUCGCGUCCGCCGGGAUUCAGCCUUGCUUUUGCUUGGUGCACUUCUCGGUAGAUGGGCCAGCAUCAAUUUUGGUCGUCGGAAAAGGGCGGGAGGAAUGUGGCAGCUUGCUGUGUUAUAGCCUCCUGUCGCAAACGAUGGCCGGGAUUGAGGAAUGCAGCACGCCUUUGGUCGGGGUUCGCCACACGCCACGUGCUUAGGAUGCUGGCGU
rnacentral:rRNA from 1 species